rnacentral:rRNA from 1 species
GCCGGUACUCGCGAAUGCUCUAGAUUAGAGUUUGAUCAUGGCUCAGGACGAACGCUGGCGGCGUGCCUAAUACAUGCAAGUCGAGCGAACAGAGAAGGAGCUUGCUCCUUUGACGUUAGCGGCGGACGGGUGAGUAACACGUGGGCAACCUACCUUAUAGUUUGGGAUAACUCCGGGAAACCGGGGCUAAUACCGAAUAAUCUAUUUUACUUCAUGGUGAAAUACUGAAAGACGGUUUCGGCUGUCGCUAUAAGAUGGGCCCGCGGCGCAUUAGCUAGUUGGUGAGGUAACGGCUCACCAAGGCGACGAUGCGUAGCCGACCUGAGAGGGUGAUCGGCCACACUGGGACUGAGACACGGCCCAGACUCCUACGGGAGGCAGCAGUAGGGAAUCUUCCACAAUGGGCGAAAGCCUGAUGGAGCAACGCCGCGUGAGUGAAGAAGGUUUUCGGAUCGUAAAACUCUGUUGUAAGGGAAGAACAAGUACAGUAGUAACUGGCUGUACCUUGACGGUACCUUAUUAGAAAGCCACGGCUAACUACGUGCCAGCAGCCGCGGUAAUACGUAGGUGGCAAGCGUUGUCCGGAAUUAUUGGGCGUAAAGCGCGCGCAAGCGGUCCUUUAAGUCUGAUGGUGAAAAGCCCACGGUUCAACCGUUGGGAGGGUCCUUGGGAAACU